GACGAACGCUGGCGGCGUGCUUAACACAUGCAAGUCGAACGGAAAGGCCCUGCUUUUGUGGGGUGCUCGAGUGGCGAACGGGUGAGUAACACGUGAGUAACCUGCCCUUGACUUUGGGAUAACUUCAGGAAACUGGGGCUAAUACCGGAUAGGAGCUCCUGCUGCAUGGUGGGGGUUGGAAAGUUUCGGCGGUUGGGGAUGGACUCGCGGCUUAUCAGCUUGUUGGUGGGGUAGUGGCUUACCAAGGCUUUGACGGGUAGCCGGCCUGAGAGGGUGACCGGCCACGUGGGGACUGAGACAGGCCCGAGCCCCCUACGGGGGGCAACGGGGGGGAAUUUGGCAAAGUGGGCGGAGGCCGUAUGCAGAAGCCCCGGGGGGGGGAUGGCGGCUUUCGGUGUAAAACCCGCUUCCGCCUGGGACGAAGCGGGAGUGACGGUAGUGGAUAAAGAAGCACCGGCUAACUCCGUG
rnacentral:rRNA from 1 species